rnacentral:lncRNA from 1 species
CUCUCAUUUUUAUUACCUACCUGACCCCUGAAGGGUUUGCCUUUUCCACCUCUCGGUCAGGGUGGGGACAAAUCAGAAAAUGCUGAGUGCCAGGCUGAGCAGGGUAGACUUUGUCUUUGAGUAAGCUGAGUUUUGAAGGAUGUUAAGAAGGGACUUGACAUAAGGAAGUCAAUGGUAUGUGGGAAAUAGUGAUUGACUGUGUAUAAGGACUUAAGGGGAAGCGUUCUUCUUUUUUUUGAAACGGAUUCUCGGUCUGUCUUCCGGGCUGGUGCGAUCUCAGCUCACUGCACCCUCUGCCUCCCAGGUUCAAACGAUUCUCCUGUCCCAGCCUCCCGAGUAGCUGGGAUUACAGGUGUGAGCCACAGCCCCCGGCCG